UGUAGUUUUUAGGACUUCCUGUUACCUGACAUUGACAGCUUCUAACCUGGAUACCUCACCUGGAGCCUCGAGUACAAGGCUGGCUACAAUGGCAAGAGGGAGGGAGUAUCCCUGUCUUACAAUCUUAAGGGGAAAGCUUUCUGUCUUCAGCCUGAAGCAUGUCAACUGUGAGUUUUCAUGGACGCUCUGACCAAACUGAGGAUGCUUCCUUCUACGUUUAAUUUGGAUCUACCCUUCUCUUCAAGACACCACCUGAUGAAUGCAAGUCUUGUUUCUGCAGAUGUGAACUUUGAGCUGGUGCUGUGGUCAAGGGAGUGUUAGAAACGCAGGCUCUCAGGAGACACAUGUGCACACUAAAAACAAAGGACUUGUAGGAAAGACUUCAACACGGACUUCAGAGAGGGAAGAGCACGGAGCGGACAACAGACCACAAAUGCUAUGGGAGGACGAGGCCAAGGACCAUCUGAGCUCUCUGGCAGAGAAAGAAAAGGUGGGAAUGAAGCAACCAGCAUGCAAUGUUCUGCUCAGGUAAUUACCCAGAGCUGCUGGAGGAAGUAUGACUAAAUUUCUGUCUAUAAUUUAAAAGGCAGGAGCAGAAUCUUUGGGAAAAAAAUACAGGAGAAGAAAUUCAGCUACCUAUAAAGAAGAUCAGUAAUUAGUUUCCAGCACAGAAAAGAUUGGCCUGUUAGGAACCCCCACGGUUGUGGCAUGAUUUAAGCAUAGACAAGACAGUGACAGCAAUGCUCAGCAAGGCAUUCUGGAACUGCAAGAGACACUGAACGUGAAGACCUGUGUCCCUUUAAGUUCAAUGUUCUUUUUUGUUUUGUUUUUUCAACGGGUUUCUCUUUAUAGCCCUAGCUGUCCUGGCCUUGAACCCUCAAAUGGAGUGCUGAGAUUAAAGGUGUGCACCACCACUGCCUUGCAAGUUCAAUGUUCUUCUCUAAGUUCCCAGAAUUAGGCUGAAAGUGGUACCAGUCUUGGAAGGUUUGUUAGAAGAUGGCACAAAAAAGUUGCUAUCAUCAUCGUCAUUAUCAUCAUCAUCAAAGAGGCCAGCAGGAGUUGGCAGAUGUGAACUCUUCCCUGGAGUGGGCUGCUCAUGUUUCUGGAACUCCUUCAAUGACGGAGCAGAAGUGGACCCAGACACAUCAGUAUACCCU